rnacentral:rRNA from 1 species
AGAGUUUGAUCAUGGCUCAGGACGAACGCUGGCGGCGUGCCUAACACAUGCAAGUCGGACGGAGUUAAGUCUUCGGAUUUAACUUAGUGGCGAACGGGUGAGUAACGCGUGAGAAACCUGCCUUUCAGUGGGGGACAACAGUUGGAAACGACUGCUAAUACCGCAUAAUGUUAUUUGGGGGCAUCCCCGAAUAACCAAAGAUUUAUUGCUGAAAGAUGGUCUCGCGUCUGAUUAGCUAGUUGGUGAGGUAACGGCCCACCAAGGCGACGAUCAGUAGCCGGUCUGAGAGGAUGAACGGCCACAUUGGGACUGAGAUACGGCCCAGACUCCUACGGGAGGCAGCAGUGGGGAAUAUUGGGCAAUGGGCGAAAGCCUGACCCAGCAACGCCGCGUGAAGGAAGAAGGCCUUCGGGUUGUAAACUUCUUUUACCAGGGACGAAGAACGUGACGGUACCUGGAGAAAAAGCAACGGCUAACUACGUGCCAGCCGCCGCGGUAAUUC